GAUGAACGCUGGCGGCGUGCCUAAUACAUGCCAGUCGAGCGAACGGACGAGAAGCUUGCUUCUCUGAUGUUAGCGGCGGACGGGUGAGUAGCACGUGGAUAACCUACCUAUAAGACUGGGAUAACUUCGGGAAACCGUAGCUAAUACCGGAUAAUAUUUUGAACCGCAUGGUUCAAAAGUGAAAGACGGUCUUGCUGUCACUUAUAGAUGGAUCCGCGCUGCAUUAGCUAGUUGGUAAGGUAACGGCUUACCAAGGCAACGAUGCAUAGCCGACCUGAGAGGGUGAUCGGCCACACUGGAACUGAGACACGGUCCAGACUCCUACGGGAGGCAGCAGUAGGGAAUCUUCCGCAAUGGGCGAAAGCCUGACGGAGCAACGCCGCGUGAGUGAUGAAGGUCUUCGGAUCGUAAAACUCUGUUAUUAGGGAAGAACAUAUGUGUAAGUAACUGUGCACAUCUUGACGGUACCUAAUCAGAAAGCCACGGCUAACUACGUG
rnacentral:rRNA from 1 species